rnacentral:rRNA from 1 species
AUUGAACGCUGGCGGCAUGCCUUACACAUGCAAGUCGAACGGCAGCACGGGAGCAAUCCUGGUGGCGAGUGGCGAACGGGUGAGUAAAGUAUCGGAACGUGCCCAGUCGUGGGGGAUAACGUAGCGAAAGUUAAGCUAAUACCGCAUACGAUCUAAGGAAGAAAGCGGGGGAUCGCAAGACAUCGCGCGAGUGGAGCGGCUGAUAUCAGAUUAGGUAGUUGGUGGGGUAAAGGCUCACCAAGCCGACGAUCUGUAGCUGGUCUGAGAGGACGACCAGCCACACUGGGACUGAGACACGGCCCAGACUCCGACGGGAGGCAGCAGUGGGGAAUUUUGGACAAUGGGCGCAAGCCUGAUCCAGCCAUGCCGCGUGCAGGAUGAAGGCCUUCGGGUUGUAAACUGCUUUUGUACGGAACGAAAAGGUUUGGCCUAAUAAGCUGGACCCAUGACGGUACCGUAAGAAUAAGCACCGGCUAACUACGUGCCAGCCGCCGCAGUAA